UGUGGAAUGGGGGGGCACCCUGAUGCAGCCAUGCCGCGUGUGUGAAGAAGGCCCUCGGGUUGUAAAGCACUUUCAGCGAGGAAGAACGCCUAGCGGUUAAUACCCGCUAGGAAAGACAUCACUCGCAGAAGAAGCACCGGCUAACUCCGUGCCAGCAGCCGCGGUAAUACGGAGGGUGCAAGCGUUAAUCGGAAUUACUGGGCGUAAAGCGCGCGUAGGUGGCUUGAUAAGCCGGUUGUGAAAGCCCCGGGCUCAACCUGGGAACGGCAUCCGGAACUGUCAAGCUAGAGUGCAGGAGAGGAAGGUAGAAUUCCCGGUGUAGCGGUGAAAUGCGUAGAGAUCGGGAGGAAUACCAGUGGCGAAGGCGGCCUUCUGGACUGACACUGACACUGAGGUGCGAAAGCGUGGGUAGCAAACAGGAUUAGAUACCCUGGUAGUCCACGCCGUAAACGAUGUCGACCAGCCGUUGGGUGCCUAGCGCACUUUGUGGCGAAGUUAACGCGAUAAGUCGACCGCCUGGGGAGUACGGCCGCAAGGUUAAAACUCAAGAAAUUUUGACGGA
rnacentral:rRNA from 1 species